rnacentral:rRNA from 1 species
CUCGGCGUAUUAGAUCAAAAGUGGCCUCUACAUGUAAGCUACUGUUUGAAGAUGAGCCCGCGUGCCAUUAGCUAGUUGGUAGGGUAAUGGCCUACCAAGGCUACGAUGGCUAGCUGGUCUGAGAGGAUGAUCAGCCACACUGGAACUGACACACGGUCCAGACUCCUACGGGAGGCAGCAGUGAGGAAUUUUGCGCAAUGGGGGAAACCCUGACGCAGCAACGCCGCGUGAGUGAUGAAGGCUUUCGGGUCGUAAAGCUCUGUCAAGUGGGAAGAAAAUGCUCGAUAUUAAUACCAUCGUGCACUGACGGUACCACUGAAGGAAGCACCGGCUAACUCCGUGCCAGCAGCCGCGGUAAUACGGGGGGUGCAAGCGUUAUUCGGAAUCAUUGGGCGUAAAGGGCGCGUAGGCGGCCUCUUAAGUCAGAUGUGAAAGCCCGGGGCUCAACCCCGGAAGUGCAUUUGAAACUAAGGGACUUGAGUAUGGGAGAGGGAAGUGGAAUUCCUGGUGUAGAGGUGAAAUUCGUAGAUAUCAGGAGGAACACCGGUGGCGAAGGCGACUUCCUGGACCAAUACUGACGCUAAGGCGCGAAGGCGUGGGGAGCAACAGGAUUAGAUACCCUGGUAGUCCACGCAGUAAACGGUGAACACUAGGUGUAGCGGGUAUUGACCCCUGCUGUGCCGCAGCUAACGCAUUAAGUGUUCCGCCUGGGGAGUACGGUCGCAAGAUUAAAACUCAAAGGAAUUGACGGGGGCCCGCACAAGCGGUGGAGCAUGUGGUUUAAUUCGACGCAACGCGAA